CACGUAGGGUGCGAGCGUUGUCCGGAAUUAUUGGGCGUAAAGAGCUCGUAGGCGGUGUGUCGCGUCGGCCGUGAAAACCUGCAGCUUAACUGUGGGCUUGCGGUCGAUACGGGCAUCACUGGAGUUCGGCAGGGGAGACUGGAAUUCCUGGUGUAGCGGUGAAAUGCGCAGAUAUCAGGAGGAACACCGGUGGCGAAGGCGGGGUCUCCUGGGCCGAUACUGACGCUGGAGGCGACGAAAGCUAGGGUAGCAAACGGGG
rnacentral:rRNA from 1 species